AAAAACUUAAGUUUAACCAAACUAAGAGCCUUCAAAGCUCAAAACAAGGGUAAGACCCCCUUAGUUUUUG
rnacentral:tRNA from 1 species